GAGGCCGAGCCUCCCUCUCUCAUUUUCACGAUUCUGGAAAAAAAGAAAAAAACUCAGAAGAACCAAAACUCUCUCAUCUCUUGCUCACCAUCCAUGGCUGAAACAAAACAUAAACCUCCCUCUGUUCGAACAACAACGGCGGCCAUGGAAGAGUCUUCAGAGACUCUCGGUUCUCAUGCUUGCGGUAACAACAACAACAACAACUUAUUGUCUCUCUCAAUCGAUCUCCGCUCUCGGCUCGUUCUCACCGUGAAACAAAGACAAAAGCAAUUCUCCCCACUGAGCAACAACAACAAUAAAGUACUCUCUCUCGGUUUCUCUUUGCUCAAUCCUUCAACGGUUUUUUCUCUGAGUUCCCAGCCUCUCUCAAUCCGAAUAACAACAACAACGGAGAAUUUCGAAGUCCUCCGGCGGCCAUGGAAACUCAUAUUGACGAGAACAGCUUAAGCUAUAAACCGAUUUCUUUCGCAAUCAGAGGAAAUUAUGUUCAACAAUAACAAACUAUAAUAUUAGAGAAAGUGUGAAGACUUACCUACGGCGAGGAGAUUUUCACCGGUUUGUGUAUUGAGCGUCGGUGUUUUGACUGCAGGUGAGCAAGAACCUUCGGUGAUGUUGUUAUUGCAACUGUUGUUGCUGAAUUUUUGUGUUGAAGUGAUUAUAUUGUUGCUGCAGUUUGAUUGAAGGUGAUAUGAAGAUGAACAAAACCGUGAGCUGCUCUCUUUUCUCCCUCCUUGCGGCUCUUUGAUGAAGGUGAUGCCUCAACACCUCUUUGGAUAUUAAGGAGACUUGAAGAUGAUCUUCAAGUGGAAACCUUCCACCAAGGUAUGAACUAUUUCUUCACCCCUUUUUCAACUAUGGAACUAAGAAACUUUGAAAAUUGUGAGAGAAAAGGGAGGAGUGAAAAAAGCAAGUAGUUAAGGUUGCUUUGGUGUCUUUUGCAAUGAAGAGAACACCUCUAUUUAUAGGAAAAGCUUAGGAUGUGUUUGGCAUAAAAAUUAACUUGAUUGGCAAGAUUGUAAUCAUUGAGAAAAUAAGAAUAAGAAUAAGAAUAUUCUCCAUGUCAUUAUGCAAAGAUAUUUCUUAUGAUAUGAAUCAUGCAAGUGGAAGAAAAAUCUCUCAUUGAUUCCUUUUUGUCUUGAAUUAUCUCUUCUUUUUGAAUUAUUUCUUUUAUUGGACCUUUUGCUAAUCUCACCCCUUUUGUUUCUUUUUCCAUGUGACAUGAGCAUUCUUGAUGAAAGCAUGAAGAAAUUUGAACUUGAAGGAUGAAGACUUUGAAGAUUGAAGAAUUCAAGAAAGCAUUGCAUUUUCUUUUAUUCUUUGUAAUCCAAAUUUAUUUCACUUUAGAAUUGUAUGAACUUGUAUUCUUGAAAGUGAAUAGAAUUUUGGAAUGAUGUAAUUCUUGAA